GGAGGCCAGAAGUCCCACGCAGGUCUCUCACUGGACUAAGCAAGAAAAUAAGUUUGCAAAUGGUUGUCUUCUAAAGAGAAGAUUAAAGAGUUUGCAGCCAAAACAUCUAUGGAAAAAUUUAAUAUAGAGAAUGUCCCCAAAUAUAUGUGAGCUUCAAGCACAUUAAGACCUAGUCAUCAUUCAUUUAUUUAACAAAUAUUGGUAGGUCACCUGCUAUGUAUCAGGCACUGUGUGGUGCUGAGAACACAAGCAAUGAGCAAUCAGAUACCGACUGCUUCAUUGAAUUCCUACCUAGAGUUUCUUAGAGUCUCUCCUGAAGAGUUGCAUCAAUUUCUGGCCCACACCUGCCAAACUGGAAAUACUUAAACUUAGUUUUGGUGCAAAAGAGAAAACAGAUGUCUUGGCCAUAUUCCGGGGAAAAAUUUUGACCAUCUUCUGGGAGAAGUUUUUCUUCACA